rnacentral:rRNA from 1 species
AUUGAACGCUGGCGGCAGGCCUAACACAUGCAAGUCGAGCGGAUGAGAGGAGCUUGCUCCUUGAUUUAGCGGCGGACGGGUGAGUAAUGCCUAGGAAUCUGCCUGGUAGUGGGGGAUAACGUUCCGAAAGGAACGCUAAUACCGCAUACGUCCUACGGGAGAAAGCAGGGGACCUUCGGGCCUUGCGCUAUCAGAUGAGCCUAGGUCGGAUUAGCUAGUUGGUGAGGUAAUGGCUCACCAAGGCGACGAUCCGUAACUGGUCUGAGAGGAUGAUCAGUCACACUGGAACUGAGACACGGUCCAGACUCCUACGGGAGGCAGCAGUGGGGAAUAUUGGACAAUGGGCGAAAGCCUGAUCCAGCCAUGCCGCGUGUGUGAAGAAGGUCUUCGGAUUGUAAAGCACUUUAAGUUGGGAGGAAGGGCAGUAAGCUAAUACCUUGCUGUUUUGACGGUACCGACAGAAUAAGCACCGGCUAACUUCGUG